rnacentral:rRNA from 1 species
CAGUCGCCGCGGUAAUACGGAGGGUGCAAGCGUUAAUCGGAAUUACUGGGCGUAAAGCGCACGCAGGCGGUCUGACAAGUCAGAUGUGAAAUCCCCGGGCUUAACCUGGGAACUGCAUUUGAAACUGUCAGGCUGGAGUCUUGUAGAGGGGGGUAGAAUUCCAGGUGUAGCGGUGAAAUGCGUAGAGAUCUGGAGGAAUACCGGUGGCGAAGGCGGCCCCCUGGACGAAGACUGACGCUCAGGUGCGAAAGCGUGGGGAGCAAACAGGAUUAGAUACCCCUGUAGUCCCUGUCUCUUAUAA